CGCGCCGACAGAAAACAUGUCUCAAUGCUCGUUGAAAAAAACGAUGGAGUUUAAUAUUUUCGAUCCUGUGCGGUGUGGAUAUCUGUUAUAAUAGCACGUCCGACCCAACAAAGCGUUGUACGUUCGAAGCAUUUUUUAGAAAGUGAUAAAUAUGUAACUAUAUUUUGAUUUUGAUGAUUGAUUAUGUAAAUAAAUAAUAUAGACAAUAUU